UGCCUCUGCAGCGCGCUCGCUUUUAUUUUUGCACUCAGCCUGAGGAGCCCGCCGACUUUUUAAAUGCCCCCGCCUUCCGGAGAGGGGAGAGGCCGCUCAGCCAAUCCGAGGGAAGCGUUUUCGGAGCAGCCAAUCACGAGCGAGAUGGGUGUGCAGACAGGAGCCCGCGAGGGAGGGUGCUGGGCGGGAAAGGCGCGCGCUCUUUCCCGCGCAAACAGGUGCGAACGCUCGGCUGGUUUCCCAGCUCGCGCACCGGUUGCCAUGGAGACGGCCGCAGCGCGGGUAACGGCUCAUCACUGUCAGCUGUGCUUUUUAGGAUUGAGAGAUCAGAGGGCUACUUGGGCUUCCACUGGAUUACAAGUCCCAUCAGCCACCUCUGGGGCGCUGAUGGGGAACGUCCCUUCUUCCAACAGAACUUUUUCUUGUUGAGCAGGAAAAUGCUUAAAAUGCUGUUUAAAAAGUUCUGAAAAUUUAAUAAAUGCAAAAUAAAAUAAAGAUUAUAUGCAGAA